rnacentral:rRNA from 1 species
GUUGGGUAACACUAACUGGAGGACCGAACCGACUAAUGUUGAAAAAUUAGCGGAUGACUUGUGGCUGGGGGUGAAAGGCCAAUCAAACCGGGAGAUAGCUGGUUCUCCCCGAAAGCUAUUUAGGUAGCGCCUCGUGAAUUCAUCUCCGGGGGUAGAGCACUGUUUCGGCAAGGGGGUCAUCCCGACUUACCAACCCGAUGCAAACUGCGAAUACCGGAGAAUGUUAUCACGGGAGACACACGGCGGGUGCUAACGUCCGUCGUGAAGAGGGAAACAACCCAGACCGCCAGCUAAGGUCCCAAAGUCAUGGUUAAGUGGGAAACGAUGUGGGAAGGCCCAGACAGCCAGGAUGUUGGCUUAGAAGCAGCCAUCAUUUAAAGAAAGCGUAAUAGCUCACUGGUCGAGUCGGCCUGCGCGGAAGAUGUAACGGGGCUAAACCAUGCACCGAAGCUGCGGCAGCGACGCUGAUGCGUUGUUGGGUAGGGGAGCGUUCUGUAAGCCUGCGAAGGUGUGCUGUGAGGCAUGCUGGAGGUAUCAGAAGUGCGAAUGCUGACAUAAGUAACGAUAAAGCGGGUGAAAAGCCCGCUCGCCGGAAGACCAAGGGUUCCUGUCCAACGUUAAUCGGGGCAGGGUGAGUCGACCCCUAAGGCGAGGCCGAAAGGCGUAGUCGAUGGGAAACAGGUUAAUAUUCCUGUACUUGGUGUUACUGCGAAGGGGGGACGGAGAAGGCUAUGUUGGCCGGGCGACGGUUGUCCCGGUUUAAGCGUGUAGGCUGGU